AGCACCUUGAGCUUCCGUGCCCUGUUCCAAGAGGAUGGAAGGAGACGAUGAGAAGGAAGAGAGAAAGGUGCCGAGAGAGAGGCCUAAGGGAAGUGAGCUCACAAGAGAAGCAGCUGACAGGCCAAAGAACGGCAAAGAUAGUCUUGUAAAAGCUACUUAAAAAUAAUGGAAGGUCACGGCCAGUGAGACAACACUUCCGAUUAAGGCCCUCCAGAAGCAGGAGCCCAAAGAACAGGGCAGGGGGUAAGUUCUCGAAUCUCCAAGGCUCUGCCUGUUCUUGUGUUCUCCACAUGGAGAUGUGUGGCGGCAUUUAAUGAGUCCAGUGGAUGACGUUUGGAUACCAGUCGUGUCCAGAUUUUAUACAAUCUACACUGACUAGCGCAAGUGUUGGGUGGUCUCAUUUGAAACUCUAGGCUCAUAGUCACAGACAGUGCAUGAAAAACUUGAGGUAUGUGGAGUGAGUGGAAGGAUGUCUGCUGGAGCGAGAGCUGGAAGGGAGAACAGCGGGACAGC
rnacentral:lncRNA from 1 species